rnacentral:lncRNA from 1 species
UGAACUCGGCCAAAUGUUCUUGGUCCGGUCUGGGAUGAAAAACUCUUGACACAAGCUAAAAGUAUCAUUAAUCGAUUGUUCUAAGCAAGAACAAUCGCUUAACGACACUUCUGAGUCAAGUCGAGUCUUGACAGCACGGGAAGUGAAACGUUAUUUCAUUUUUUAUUUUCCAAUCCAGAUUUGAGGUGGAGAUGUGGGGAUUUUAAGGGAGAUUGGCUCCAUAUUGAUAUUUCAAUGAGUGUGGGGAAUUGAUGAUAAGAGUUUGGGAGUGGUUUGGAGCUGAAAAACCUGUAACCAUGGAGGAUGAGGGCUUUAGAUAGAGAAGAUGAAACAAAGAGAUUGUUUGGAGGAGAUGAGGAAUCUCUG